rnacentral:rRNA from 1 species
CCUACGGGUGGCAGCAGUGAGGAAUAUUGGUCAAUGGGCGUGAGCCUGAACCAGCCAAGUCGCGUGAGGGAAGACGGCCCUACGGACUGUAAACCUCUUUUGUGAGGGAGCAAGAUGCGUCACGAGUGGUGCUGCGAGAGUACCGGAUGAAAAAGGAUCGGCUAACUCCGUGCCAGCAGCCGCGGUAAUACGGAGGAUGCGAGCGUUAUGCGGAUUUAUUGGGUUUAAAGGGUGCGCAGGCGGAAGGGGCAAGUUAGCGUGAAAAUCGCGGGGCUCACCCUCGCCGAGCCGUUCAAACUGGCGUGCUUGAGUGGGCGAGAAGUAUGCGGAAUGCGUGGUGUAGCGGUGAAAUGCAUAGAUAUCACGAAGAACUCCGAUUGCGAAGGCAGCAUACGGGCGCCCUACUGACGCUGAUGCACGAAGGCGUGGGUAUCGAACAGGAUUAGAUACCCCUGUAGUC